rnacentral:tRNA from 1 species
GCAGGGGUACUCAAGUUUGGUCAAAGAGGCAAGGUUGAGGGCCUUGUGCGUUAGUCGCUGCGCGAGUUCAAAUCUCGUCCCCUGCA